GGAGGCGGCCAGGACGCUCGCGGACCUAAGACAAGGAAGCGUGUCCUGUAGUGCUGUGAAUGGGCCGGCCGUGCUGCAUUGGAAGUGAUGGAGCUGGAGGCAGAUGUCACGGAUCAUGAGCUGCUUUUUGUGGAUCUGGCAGGUUUUAACCUCACUAAAACAAGGAGACGUGGCAGGAACAUCAUCGGACACCGUGCAAUAAUUUUGCAGUACAACGUGGUGGUAACAUAGUAAAAAUAGUUUUGUUCACCAUCAUGCAACCCUGGGCCCAUACAACACAGCACAAAUCAUCACGUUCCUGGAGACCUUCCAUGACGUUCUCUCUAAUGUUCAGAGACCAGAGCAGAUACUUCGUCAUAUGGGACAAUGUUAGUUUCCGUAGGGCGACUUUGGUCCGCAACUGGUUUACAGAUCACCCGCUCUUCAUUGUACUCAACCUCCCUGCAGACUCUCCAUUCUGUAAUCCAAUUGAAGAGUUCUUCUCUGCCUGGCGCUGGAAGGUCUACGACCGUCCAUUGUCCUUUUACAGGCAAUGGAGGAGGCAUGUGAGGAAAUGGACCAGGCAUCAUGUCCGGGCUGGAUACGGUGCCUUGAACCGGUGCCACAUUGCAUGUGAUAUAGAGGUAGACAAACUUUUGUGGCCGGACCCAGAGAGAUGACACAAUGAAGACUGAUUUUUUUUAUUUUUCUUCAGUGAAAUUACCAUUUUGUGUUUUUACUUGGAAAAAAACUUGUUUGUUUUGAUGUGUGUAAAUAAACACCAUGUUUGGAUCCCUGUAUGUUUACAGAAUUAUGGCAAAAGUAUGACCUCAAACUGAUGUUGCCUACAUUCUGCACAUAGAAAGCAAAAUCCAGAUGUGUUCUUUAUUCAUGCCAUCAGUCUGUAGUUGAUUUGACAGCGUGGAGUCUUGUCUAGAUAACGUCCACAUGUUCUUAUCCAGCCGAUAAGAAGUAAACCUUGCACACUAUUACAAGUGCAGCAAAUUGUUUUAUUUAGAAACCACAUGGCCACAUCAGUCAUGUUGUGUUGAUUCACAGAUAUUGCACAGUAGGGAUAUGAGUGUUAAUAGAAAAAUAAAGGCUGUAAUAAGGGACUUUUAUGAUGAG
ensembl:lncRNA